rnacentral:rRNA from 1 species
AUGAACGCUAGCUACAGGCUUAACACAUGCAAGUCGAGGGGCAGCAUGAACUUAGCUUGCUAAGUUUGAUGGCGACCGGCGCACGGGUGAGUAACACGUAUCCAACCUGCCGAUGACUCGGGGAUAGCCUUUCGAAAGAAAGAUUAAUACCCGAUGGCAUAGUUCUUCCGCAUGGUAGAACUAUUAAAGAAUUUCGGUCAUCGAUGGGGAUGCGUUCCAUUAGGUUGUUGGCGGGGUAACGGCCCACCAAGCCUUCGAUGGAUAGGGGUUCUGAGAGGAAGGUCCCCCACAUUGGAACUGAGACACGGUCCAAACUCCUACGGGAGGCAGCAGUGAGGAAUAUUGGUCAAUGGACGAGAGUCUGAACCAGCCAAGUAGCGUGAAGGAUGACUGCCCUAUGGGUUGUAAACUUCUUUUAUACGGGAAUAAAGUGAGGCACGUGUGCCUUUUUGUAUGUACCGUAUGAAUAAGGAUCGGCUAACUCCGUGCCAGCAGCCGCGGUAAUACGGAGGAUCCGAGCGUUAUCCGGAUUUAUUGGGUUUAAAGGGAGCGUAGGCGGACGCUUAAGUCAGUUGUGAAAGUUUGCGGCUCAACCGUAAAAUUGCAGUUGAUACUGGGUGUCUUGAGUACAGUAGAGGCAGGCGGAAUUCGUGGUGUAGCGGUGAAAUGCUUAGAUAUCACGAAGAACUCCGAUUGCGAAGGCAGCUUGCUGGACUGUAACUGACGCUGAUGCUCGAAAGUGUGGGUAUCAAACAGGAUUAGAUACCCUGGUAGUCCACACAGUAAACGAUGAAUACUCGCUGUUUGCGAUAUACAGUAAGCGGCCAAGCGAAAGCGUUAAGUAUUCCACCUGGGGAGUACGCCGGCAACGGUGAAACUCAAAGGAAUUGACGGGGGCCCGCACAAGCAGUGGAGUAUGUGGUUUAAUUCGACGCAACGCGAAGAACCUUACCAGGUCUUGACAUCCCGAUGAAAAACCCGUAACGGGGUUCGCUCUUCGGAGCAUCGGAGACAGGUGGUGCAUGGUUGUCGUCAGCUCGUGCCGUGAGGUGUCGGCUUAAGUGCCAUAACGAGCGCAACCCUUAUCGAUAGUUACCAUCAGGUUAUGCUGGGGACUCUGUCGAGACUGCCGUCGUAAGAUGUGAGGAAGGUGGGGAUGACGUCAAAUCAGCACGGCCCUUACGUCCGGGGCUACACACGUGUUACAAUGGGGGGUACAGAAGGCAGCUACACGGCGACGUGAUGCUAAUCCCGAAAGCCUCUCUCAGUUCGGAUUGGAGUCUGCAACCCGACUCCAUGAAGCUGGAUUCGCUAGUAAUCGCGCAUCAGCCACGGCGCGGUGAAUACGUUCCCGGGCCUUGUACACACCGCCCGUCAAGCCAUGAAAGCCGGGGGUACCUGAAGUGCGUAACCGCAAGGAGCGCCCUAGGGUAAAACUGGUGAUUGGGGCU